rnacentral:miRNA from 1 species
ACAGAGUCACAUAGUACCUGA